rnacentral:rRNA from 1 species
CAAUAGCGUAUAUUAACGUUGUUGCAGUUAAAAAGCUCGUAGUUGGAUUUCUGGAGGGAGCGUCGGCCCGUAUUUACGAGUGCGUGACAUCUCUGUCCAUCCUUGCGGGAAGGCACGGCAUUGAUUUGUUGUGUCGGAUCGCAUCAUUUACUGUGAAAAAAUUAGAGUGUUCAAAGCAGGCUUUCGCUUGAAUACAUUAGCAUGGAAUAAUAAGAUAGGACUUUGGUGCUAUUUUGUUGGUUGAGCCUAAAGUAAUGAUUAAUAGGGAUAGUUGGGGGCACCUGUAUUGCGUUGUCAGAGGUGAAAUUCUUGGAUUUACGCAAGACAAACAGCUGCGAAAGCGUCUGCCAAGGAUGUUUUCAUUAA